GGCCUGCCUGGUGGCCCUCCCUGUGAGAAGGUAUUCUUCCUGCUCCAUUGACAUCAGGCUUAUUAGCCAUGUUUCUGGAUUUGGUCCAUUUCAUCAUAAAGAGAACAUGGAGCAGGGCUGCAGCUGAUCUUCAAAGGGCAUGAACACAAGCCAGAGAGAAGCCGUUAUUGUUGUAAGCCCUGAAGAUUUGGGGGAUAUUAUUGCAACACAACUCAGCCCAAGCUGACUAAUACAACAAGUUUCUAUGUAUACAUGGAAAUGUAUGUAAUCUUAGCCUCAAAAAAAAAAAAAAGAAAAAAAGAGUAUCUGAAAAUCCCAGGAUACUCGGGGCUCAUGGUGCGUAGUCAAUGAAAUGAUUAGCUCUCUUUCUUCAUCCUUCCCUCUCCAAUCUUUUCUUUUCAUUCUCCUUCAUCUCAUUCUCCUUCUCUCUGUGAUUUACAAAGCUGGUCAUGG
rnacentral:lncRNA from 1 species